AUGUGGAAAAAUGAUCGGUGCUGGAGAAGGUUAAAUUCUCAGUCCCUGAAGUCUCGCUGCUGUGGCUACAGCCCAAGAAAGUUAAUGAAAGAAAGGAGCACUGACAACUCCUGCUGCUUCGACAGGAGCUUACCACCUCAUUACUGGCCAGAUUCUUACAACCAAAAGAAAAGAAUACUUCUGCCAAGAAAAAGAAGAGUAUCUGAGUUGAGAGGAGACGAAGGCACUUCUCAGACUAAAGCAAUAGAAAAGCCUCCCUGGACACCCCGGAGGAACGUCCCCUCUUAUUUUGUGGCUUUGGUGCCACAGGACAAGAAGUUGGAUGACCAGAAAAUUCAGGUCACUCCUCCAGGCUUUCAGCUGGUCUUUUUACCAUUUGCUGAUGAUAAAAGGAAGGUGCCCUUUACUGAAAAAAUCAUGGCAACUCCAGAGCAGGUGGGCAAGAUGAAGGCUGUCAUUAAGAAGUUCUGCUUCACAUACAAAAGUGACAGCUUUGAGAACCCCACACUACAGCAGCACUUCAGGAACCUGGAGUCCUUGGUCUUCGAUUUGAUGGAGCCUGAACAAGCAGUGGACCUGACAUUGCCCAAGGUUGAAGCAAUGAAUAAAAAACUGGGUUCCCUGGUGGAUGAAUUUGAGGAGCUUGCUUACCCACCAGAUUACAAUCCUGAAGGGAAAGUUACCAACAGAAAACAUGAUAAUGAAGGUUCUGGAAGCAAAAGUCCCAAGCUGGAGUAUUCAGGAGAGGGGCUGAAGACCCACAUCAGCAAAGGCACACUGGGCAAGUUCACUGUGCCCAUGCUGAAAUAGGCUUGCCAGGCGUACGGGCUGAACAGGGGGCUGAAGAAGCAGGAGCUGCUGGAAGCCUUCACUAAGCACUUCCAGGACUGACCAGAGGCUGUGCACCCAGCUGUCCUUCCACAGUGUGGCCAGGCUGCCUGGCCUUGUUCUCAGCCAGUUAAAAUGUGUUUCUCCUGAGCUACAAAGAGUCUACCAGACAGAAGUUGAGGGACUUUAUGUUUUUGAGGCUUUCUGUUGCUAUGGUGAUGGUGUAGCCCUACCACUUUGCUGUUCCUUACUUUACUGCCUGAAUAAAGAGCCCUAAGUGUUUACUAAAGAAAAAAAAAAAAAAA